ACUAGAAUUCAGAGCCGUUCUCGGGCGCCGCCAUUUUCUCGCGACGGUGGCGCCGCGGUGGGAGCAUUGGCUGUGGACUGCGGGCACCGCGAAUCGCUGCACGGGCGGAAGCAGGAGCGGUGACAAUGAAUUGUUCUUCAAGCGGACCGUUGACGCUUAAAAUUGCUAAGUACAUGCUCAUUUCACUUCUGCACUAUGUACGCAUGACGAACGCAGUAGAACACGCGUCGGAUCGAGGGCACGCUUGACUUUUCUAAAGUUUCGCGGUAUCAUGGUCACAAUGAGGGCGACGCAUUUUCGUUUGCGGAAUACGUAUGCAUUGGUUUCCGCGCGUC
rnacentral:lncRNA from 1 species